GACGAACGCUGGCGGCGUGCCUAAUACAUGCAAGUCGAACGAGUGGCGGACGGGUGAGUAAACCGUGGGAAACUACCCAUCAGAGGGGGAUAACUACUGGAAACGGUAGCGAAUACCGCAUACCAUCAGAAGAACCCCUAUGGGAUUAGCUUGUAGGUGGGGAAACGGCUCACCUAGGCGACGAGCCCUAGCUGGUCUGAGAGGAUGAUCAGCCAAACUGGGACUGAGACACGGCCCAGACUCCUACGGGAGGCAGCAGUGGGGAAUAUUGCACAAUGGGCGCAAGCCUGAUGCAGCCAUGCCGCGUGUAUGAAGAAGGCCUUCGGGUUGUAAAGUACUUUCAGUCGGGAGGCGUUACCGACAGAAGAAGCACCGGCUAACUCCGUGCCAGCAGCCGCGGUAAUAC
rnacentral:rRNA from 1 species